UACGAGGGGGGCAAGCGUUGUUCGGAAUUAUUGGGCGUAAAGGGCGCGUAGGCGGUGCGGUAAGUCUGAUGUGAAAUCUCCGGGCUCAACUCGGAGUCUGCAUCAGAAACUGCCGUGCUCGAGUGUGGGAGAGGUGAGUGGAAUUCCCGGUGUAGAGGUGAAAUUCGUAGAUAUUGGGAAGAACACCGGUGGCGAAGGCGGCUCACUGGCCCGAUACUGACGCUGAGGCACGAAAGCGUGGGGAGCAAACAGG
rnacentral:rRNA from 1 species